rnacentral:rRNA from 1 species
UACGAAGGGGGCUAGCGUUGCUCGGAAUCACUGGGCGUAAAGCGCACGUAGGCGGAUUGCUAAGUCAGGGGUGAAAUCCUGGAGCUCAACUCCAGAACUGCCUUUGAAACUGUAAGGCUUGAGUCCGGGAGGGGGUAGCGGAAUUCCUAGUGUAGCGGUGAAAUGCGUAGAUAUUGGGAGGAACACCAGUGGCGAAGGCGGCUACCUGGACCGGAACUGACGCUGAUGCGCGAAAGCGUGGGUAGCAAACAGG